rnacentral:lncRNA from 1 species
GAAAGAACCAAUCAAGUCAGAGAAAAUAGUGAAGAAAGAGGGGGUUAGCGCUUUUACUAACCCAGUCAGUGUUGAGUGUUUUCUCUGUGAUUGUGGUUUGAGAAGGCUGAUAUAUACCAUGAGUAGUGAGGCAUCAACAGAAAGGAUGCAUUUCCUUUAAUUGUUUUCCUUUCUUCAGAAAGUAUUAUGGCACCGCAUGCUGGAUCCCAUGGCGAAUCUAAGAAAACUGGCUAAAAUGCAUUUUGUCUAUGAGGGACCAUACAUCUCCGUCCUUUCUCUGUAAGACCCCAACACACAUAACUGAUCUCAAGGUGGGAUAUGAUGGGAGUUCUGAGAUGUCAACACCAUAUUCAGCAAGGUGAAUAGUGCUGGGAAUACGCUGAACCAGUGAGACAACAAGGUGAGUUUGUGUGAGAGUCGGGUCUUAAAAACUACUUUAUCUCACCCUCAGCUUCCCCCUCUUCUUAUAUUUGACCAGGCCUGUUAUGACACUGAAGAUACAGGAAUACCUUCUUCUGCCAAGUUCUUCUCAGAGCAGGCUGAGAUGAAAAGGGAGCAUGCAAAGCGAUUCCUAAGAUAUCUAAGAAAACGUGAGAGUAUGAUCUGCCUUCCAGUUACUAAGGAAGCAGAAUGCAACAAAACUGUGCCUGAAGUAGAAAAGCGACUCUCCUGUUCAUCUCCAAUAGAGGCCUGACAGAAAUAACCGGGGAAGUGGCUUACAAGCCCUGAAAUCCGCUCUGCAGUUGGAGAACAUGUUAACCGAUGUCCUCCAGGACCUGAAAACCACAGCUUCUAAGGAUGAAGAAACUGAGCUCAUAAACGUCGUAAUGGAGUUCCUACAUAAACAGGGAACAAACAUAGCUUUUUUGGAACAUGGACAGAAGGUAUUAGAAGAGUUUCUCCAACAGAAAGGCCCAUCUGAAAAGUCUGCUAAGACAUCAGGUGAAGAGACUUAACUUCUGAAGGCAGCACAGCAAGUCUUCCCAUUGUAGUGAUCCCAGAGUCAGCUACUUAAGUCCUGAUCAGUUCCACUUGCCUGAAGACUGCUUUGCUUUUUAUAUAGUUU